rnacentral:misc_RNA from 1 species
CAGAGUUCAUGCCCUCACGGGUAGGUCUCCCACCCUUGAAUAUUAUACCUUUGUUGCUUUGGCGGGCCGCUUCGGCUACCGGCUUCGGCUGGUGAGUGCCCGCCAGAGGACCCCAAACUCUGUUUAUUAGUGUCGUCUGAGUACUAUAUAAUAGUUA